UACGUAGGUGGCGAGCGUUGUCCGGAUUUACUGGGCGUAAAGGGAGCGUAGGCGGACUUUUAAGUGAGAUGUGAAAUACUCGGGCUCAACUUGAGUGCUGCAUUUCAAACUGGAAGUCUAGAGUGCAGGAGAGGAGAAUGGAAUUCCUAGUGUAGCGGUGAGAUGCGUAGAGAUUAGGAAGAACACCAGUGGCGAAGGCGAUUCUCUGGACUGUAACUGACGCUGAGGCUCGAAAGCGUGGGGAGCAAACAGG
rnacentral:rRNA from 1 species